UGCGGGCGGAGCUGCGCAGUUGCGCGGCCUGUCGUUCCUCCCGGCGCAGCUCGUAUUCGCGCGCGGCGCGGUCCCGCGCCUCGCGG
rnacentral:tRNA from 1 species